UACGUAUGGAGCAAGCGUUAUCCGGAUUUACUGGGUGUAAAGGGAGCGCAGGCGGCUUUGCAAGUCUGAUGUGAAAGGCCGGGGCUCAACCCCGGGACUGCAUUGGAAACUGUAAAGCUAGAGUGCCGGAGAGGUAAGCGGAAUUCCUAGUGUAGCGGUGAAAUGCGUAGAUAUUAGGAGGAACACCAGUGGCGAAGGCGGCUUACUGGACGGCAACUGACGCUGAGGCUCGAAAGCGUGGGGAGCAGACAGG
rnacentral:rRNA from 1 species